UACGAAGGGUGCAAGCGUUGCUCGGAAUUACUGGGCGUAAAGGGAGCGUAGGCGGAUAGUUUAGUCAGAGGUGAAAGCCCAGGGCUCAACCUUGGAACUGCCUUUGAUACUGGCUAUCUUGAGUAUGGGAGAGGUGAGUGGAACUCCGAGUGUAGAGGUGAAAUUCGUAGAUAUUCGGAAGAACACCAGUGGCGAAGGCGACUCACUGGCCCAUUACUGACGCUGAGGCUCGAAAGCGUGGGGAGCAAACAGG
rnacentral:rRNA from 1 species